AGUGUGAUUGUUGGAUCAUAUGGUAAGAGUAUAUUUAGUCUUAUAAGAAACAGCCAAACUGUCUUCCAAAGUGGCUGUACCAUUUUGCAUUCCCACCAGUAAU
rnacentral:pre_miRNA from 1 species